AGCCCUAGGUAGAAAUAUAGGGUAAUACCUGCUCAAUGAAUAGUAUUUUAAUAGCCGCGGUACCUUGACCGUGCUAAGGUAGCAUAAUCAGUUGACUUUUAAAUGAAGUCUGGAAUGAAGGGAAAAACGGGAUUAAACUGUCUCUUGUUUUUUAUUAUGAAUUUACUAAUCAGGUGAAAAGGCCUGAGUAAGAUAAAGGACGAGAAGACCCUUAGAGUUUUUUAAAAUAUUUUGUUGGGGCGACAAAGAAUCAAAUUAACAUUCUUAUAUAUUAUAGGACGGAUUUAUCAUGAAUAGAUAAACUACCUGAGGGAUAACAGCAUUAUCUUUUAAGGUUUGUGACCUCGAUGUUGGACUAGGAAGCCUAUAGGCUAGCCGCUUAUAUGGGGGGUUCUGUUCGAACUUUCUCUCCU
rnacentral:rRNA from 1 species